AACGAACGCUGGCGGCAUGCCUAACACAUGCAAGUCGAACGAGACCUUCGGGUCUAGUGGCGCACGGGUGCGUAACGCGUGGGAACCUGCCCUUAGGUUCGGAAUAACUCCCCGAAAGGGGUGCUAAUACCGGAUAAUGUCUUCGGACCAAAGAUUUAUCGCCUUUGGAUGGGCCCGCGUUGGAUUAGCUAGUUGGUAGGGUAAAAGCCUACCAAGGCGACGAUACAUAGCUGGUCUGAGAGGAUGCUCAGCCACACUGGGACGAAGCCACGGCCCAGCCCCCUCCGGGAUGCACACGUGGGGAACACUGGACAACGGCCCCAGGCCUGAGCCAGCAAUGUCGGGAGAGUGAUGAAGGCCUUAGGGUUGUCCAGCCCCUUUACCCGGGAUCAUAAUGACCGUAGCGGGAGAAGAAGCACCGGCUAACUCCGUG
rnacentral:rRNA from 1 species